rnacentral:rRNA from 1 species
CCUCUCGGAGGCACCGUGCACAGGUGGUGCAUGGUUGUCGUCAGCUCGUGUCGUGAGAUGUUGGGUUAAGUCCCGCAACGAGCGCAACCCCUACGUUUAGUUGCUAACGCGUGAAGGCGAGCACUCUAGACGAACUGCCGUUGACAAAACGGAGGAAGGUGGGAUGACGUCAAAUCAUCAUGCCCCUUAUGUUCUGGGCUACACACGUGCUACAAUGGCCGGUACAGACGGACGCAAAGCCGCGAGGUGGAGCAAAUCCUAAAAAGCCGGUCUCAGUUCGGAUUGCAGGCUGCAAUUCGCCUGCAUGAAGUCGGAAUCGCUAGUAAUCGCAGGUCAGCAUACUGCGGUGAAUACGUUCCCGGGCCUU